rnacentral:pre_miRNA from 7 species
AUUUCCAUUCCUUGUGAAGGACCCCCGAAGAGAAACCCUCACUCAAGUCUUGGGAAUAGCACGCACCCAGCAAGACACUGAGACCG